GAUGAACGCUGGCGGCGUGCUUAACACAUGCAAGUCGAACGAUGAAACCCAGCUUGCUGGGUGGAUUAGUGGCGAACGGGUGAGUAACACGUGAGUAACCUGCCCUUAACUCUGGGAUAAGCCUGGGAAACUGGGUCUAAUACCGGAUAGGAGCGUCCACCGCAUGGUGGGUGCUGGAAAGAUUUAUCGGUUUUGGAUGGACUCGCGGCCUAUCAGCUUGUUGGUGAGGUAAUGGCUCACCAAGGCGACGACGGGUAGCCGGCCUGAGAGGGUGACCGGCCACACUGGGACUGAGACACGGCCCAGACUCCUACGGGAGGCAGCAGUGGGGAAUAUUGCACAAUGGGCGAAAGCCUGAUGCAGCGACGCCGCGUGAGGGAUGACGGCCUUCGGGUUGUAAACCUCUUUCAGUAGGGAAGAAGCGAAAGUGACGGUACCUGCAGAAGAAGCACCGGCUAACUACGUG
rnacentral:rRNA from 1 species